UACGUAGGGUGCGAGCGUUAAUCGGAAUUACUGGGCGUAAAGCGCACGUAGGCGGCUUUGUAAGUUAGAGGUGAAAGCCCAGGGCUUAACUCUGGAAUUGCCUUUAAGACUGCAUCGCUAGAAUCGUGGAGAGGUGAGUGGAAUUCCGAGUGUAGAGGUGAAAUUCGUAGAUAUUCGGAAGAACACCAGUGGCGAAGGCGACUCACUGGACACGUAUUGACGCUGAGGUGCGAAAGCGUGGGGAGCAAACAGG
rnacentral:rRNA from 1 species